CUAAUGCUAAAAACCUACCACAAAGGUUCAAAUUGUCACAUAGAAUAAAAUAUAUCUCAUAGAUAAAAUCAUCUCCUCUCUAAAAUCAGUUUUGAGGAUUUCAUUAUUUAUCCUCAAAAACAUCUAAUAUGGAUUGGCUCGUAACACCUCAAAGAAAAUUCUUCACCAUGAACUAAAGCUCACUAAUAAUGAGCCUUCACCCAUCAAAUCAUAAUCAUCUAAAAUAAAAUCGAAAACUUCUCACUAUAAAGCUCAUUUGCGCC
rnacentral:lncRNA from 1 species